UACGUAGGGUGCGAGCGUUGUCCGGAAUUAUUGGGCGUAAAGAGCUUGUAGGCGGUUUGUCGCGUCUGCCGUGAAAUUUCGGGGCUCAACCCCGAACUUGCGGUGGGUACGGGCAGACUAGAGUGUGGUAGGGGAGACUGGAAUUCCUGGUGUAGCGGUGAAAUGCGCAGAUAUCAGGAGGAACACCGAUGGCGAAGGCAGGUCUCUGAGCCACUACUGACGCUGAGAAGCGAAAGCAUGGGGAGCGAACAGG
rnacentral:rRNA from 1 species